rnacentral:rRNA from 1 species
UACGUAGGGUGCAAGCGUUGUCCGGAAUUAUUGGGCGUAAAGAGCUCGUAGGCGGUCUGUCGCGUCGAAUGUGAAAACCCGGGGCUCAACCCCGGGCCUGCAUUCGAUACGGGCAGACUAGAGUUCGGUAGGGGAGUCUGGAAUUCCUGGUGUAGCGGUGAAAUGCGUAGAUAUCUGGAGGAACACCGGUGGCGAAGGCGGCAUCCUGGACCAACACUGACACUGAAAAGCGAAAGCCAGGGGAGCAAACGGG